GUUUGCUGUCAAAAGUUAAGCUAUCCUUUCUUCGGAAAUUACCAAUGAAUUCAUAGGAGGAAAUGUGAAAGGUCGUGGCCGUCGUGCAGUCUACCGUCAUAUGUUUUGUUCAGAAUCAUUGUAUUCUACUGAAUGUUCCAUCGAAAUGAUACAGGAGUCAUAAUUGUAUUGGAAUUGCUAGAUCACCAAGCCCAGAAUAGGAAAAUCUCUGAUUUCAUCUUCUCAAGAGAAGAUUGGAUAACUGAUUGGUGGUUUCAUUUGUUCUAAACUCCAGGUUUCUAAAUUUGCAUGGCAGACUUUAUGAGAAGUCCUUUCAAGAAAGUCAACAAGGUUCCUUGUUUACUACCCUGUUGACUGCUACCCUUGAAUCUCCCUUUUUACUUUCUUAAGCUGGCCAUCUUUAUUUGAGGGUAAUCCUUCGCUACUUGCCAUGGCCUUUAACCAAGGUGAAAAACCGACGAGAGAAUGCUGCAAUUCAAGACUGAUAAAUUGUUUAAACGAUAGAUUCAAUUACAAGUGCAUAUCU